rnacentral:lncRNA from 10 species
AGUACUCACUCAGCCCAGGCUUCCAGGCCCUCCUGGGCCCUCCUAUCCACUGAAGGAAAUGGGAGAUGAGUGGGUAAUGGAAAAGCCUUUGGAGUCAGAUGUAAAUCCAUGACUUGACCACUUAUUGCUGUGAGACCCUGGACAGCUGGAUAUAGAGUUCUUGUUCUAGCAUCCGCCCUGGGAAUCCCCGGAACUGGGCCUCUUACCGACACCAUUGCCUGUAAUCCACAAACCUAGGAGCACAUGGUUAAAGCAUGAGAUGUGAAACCAGGAAGAACCAGGUCUGAACCUUAGCUCCACCAGUGGUAGCUUCAAACCUUGGUCCUUUCUGAGCCUGCUUCUUCAACCGUAAGGGAACGCUACACUUCCUUAGAAAUUAAGAGUGUGUGCUACACUGCUUUACCAGAGCAAGGCCAAAAGCAGCUUCAAUUAUGGUACAACUGUGUGAAGACACAAUGCAAAACCACUCAAGAAUGCUCACUCAAAUGGAUUUUUACCAUGGAACUCGGAAACGGGACCCAGAAAGUUGUUUUCUCAAGUGGAUGGAACAACACAAGCAAUCAGUAUCCUGAAACAGG